rnacentral:rRNA from 1 species
UCCGUUGUAGUACGCGUGGGAACAUACCCUUUCCUGCGGAAUAGCUCCGGGAAACUGGAAUUAAUACCGCAUACGCCCUACGGGGGAAAGAUUUAUCGGGGAAGGAUUGGCCCGCGUUGGAUUAGCUAGUUGGUGGGGUAAAGGCCUACCAAGGCGACGAUCCAUAGCUGGUCUGAGAGGAUGAUCAGCCACAUUGGGACUGAGACACGGCCCAAACUCCUACGGGAGGCAGCAGUGGGGAAUAUUGGACAAUGGGCGCAAGCCUGAUCCAGCCAUGCCGCGUGAGUGAUGAAGGCCUUAGGGUUGUAAAGCUCUUUCACCGGAGAAGAUAAUGACGGUAUCCGGAGAAGAAGCCCCGGCUAACUUCGUGCCAGCAGCCGCGGUAAUACGAAGGGGGCUAGCGUUGUUCGGAAUUACUGGGCGUAAAGCGCACGUAGGCGGAUAUUUAAGUCAGGGGUGAAAUCCCAGAGCUCAACUCUGGAACUGCCUUUGAUACUGGGUAUCUUGAGUAUGGAAGAGGUAAGUGGAAUUCCGAGUGUAGAGGUGAAAUUCGUAGAUAUUCGGAGGAACACCAGUGGCGAAGGCGGCUUACUGGUGUGGUGGAAUUUCCUGUG